GACGAACGCUGGCGGCGUGCCUAAUACAUGCAAGUCGAGCGGACGGAUGGGAGCUUGCUCCCAGACCGUCAGCGGCGGACGGGUGAGUAACACGUGGGCAACCUGCCUGUAAGACUGGGAUAACUCCGGGAAACCGGGGCUAAUACCGGAUAACUCUUUCCUUCACAUGAGGGAAAGCUGAAAGAUGGCAUCUCGCUAUCACUUACAGAUGGGCCCGCGGCGCAUUAGCUAGUUGGUGAGGUAACGGCUCACCAAGGCGACGAUGCGUAGCCGACCUGAGAGGAUGAUCGGCCACACUGGAACUGAGACACGGCCCAGACUCCUACGGGAGGCAGCAGUAGGGAAUCUUCCGCAAUGGACGAAAGUCUGACGGAGCAACGCCGCGUGAGUGAUGAAGGUUUUCGGAUCGUAAAACUCUGUUGUCAGGGAAGAACAAGUACCGGAGUAACUGCCGGUACCUUGACGGUACCUGACCAGAAAGCCACGGCUAACUACGUG
rnacentral:rRNA from 1 species